rnacentral:misc_RNA from 1 species
AACUUUUAGCAACGGAUCACUAGGCUCUCGCAACGAUGAAGAACGCAGCGAAAUGCGAUAAGUAAUGUGAAUUGCAAAAUUCCGUGAAUCAUCAAAUCUUUGAACGCACAUUGCGCUCUAUGGUAUUCCGUAGAGCAUGCCUGUUUGAGAAUCAGUUUAAAUCUCAUACCUAUUUCUUAGGAAAUAUGUAUGGACUUGGGACUAUCUUUCAUAGGAUAGACCUUAAAUUGAUCUGUGGCCUUGGCUAUAUUCCAUAGGAUUGAAAGGCAUGAUUACUCCUUCGGGAACUAGUGCUCAUUAAGAUUCUCUGGUUAUUGCUAUAUGGGUCCAAAAUGUUUACGAAGGCCUAGCCUUUAAGACUUGAUCUCAAAUCAGGCAAGACUACCCGCUGAACUUAAGCUAUCAAUAAGCGGAGGCU